rnacentral:rRNA from 1 species
GGGGAAUUUUGGACAAUGGGUGCAAGCCUGAUCCAGCCAUGCCGCGUGAGUGAAGAAGGCCUUCGGGUUGUAAAGCUCUUUCGCAAGGGAAGAAAACGUGUGGGCUAAUAUCCUGCGCGGAUGACGGUACCUUGACAAGAAGCACCGGCUAACUACGUGCCAGCAGCCGCGGUAAUACGUAGGGUGCGAGCGUUAAUCGGAAUUACUGGGCGUAAAGCGUGCGCAGGCGGUUGUGUAAGACAGGUGUGAAAUCCCCGGGCUUAACCUGGGAACUGCGCUUGUGACUGCACGGCUAGAGUACGGCAGAGGGGGGUGGAAUUCCUGGUGUAGCAGUGAAAUGCGUAGAUAUCAGGAGGAACUCCGAUUGCGCAGGCAGCUUACUAAACCAUAACUGACGCUCAAGCACGAAGGCGUGGGGAUCAAACA